UGAAAAGGGAUAUAUAUAUAGAGAGAGAGAGAGAGAAUUAGGCUGGAAUACUAUUAAUAGUAAAGCACUCUUUUUGCUAUCAAGUUUUUAACCCUUGGAUGAAAAAUUGUAGGGUCGUGAUGAUAUUAGUCGGUUAGAGUUGAGUGGUCCUCCUAAGGUUGAGUGGUCCCCACUGGGUUAUAGUAUUUAAUCUAAUGGUUAGAAAUAAUAAAAAUAGUUGAUCUAAAGGCUAAAAAACUGGUAGCAACAAUAAAAUUUUGCUACUAAUAGUAGCCCAGUCCAACUCUCUCUCUCUCUCUAUAUAUAUAUAUAUAGAACUGGUCUCCUAUACUAUCUAUAGUACCGGGACUCUGGUAUUAUAGUCUCGUUUUUUAUCUUAGGGUGUUCAAAUGAACGAUCCACACCGUUAAAACUAAUGUAAGGUAUUUAAAGUUUUUAAAAAUAAUAUUUUAUAUUUUUUCGAUAUAGUUUACUUUAUAAUCAAACCAUUUCAAAAUCGUCAAUUUUCAUUAACUACUAUGACGAAUUUGUAGUUUAAAGGUGUAGAAGAAUAUAAAUUUCUUCAAAUUUUAAUAAAAAAUACUUUAAACUAUUUAAAUUAAUGUUAACAUUCUUGAUCUUGAAUUUAAAAGCCAUAUGCUCAAAUUUUAAAGAUUAUUCAAUUUUUACCGUCCAUUUUGAAAUAAUUUAUUUACUAAGUAAACGAAGUUGAAAAAAACUAAAAUUUUAUUCCUGAGAACUUCAAAUACCCUAAAUCAUAUUUAACAGUGUUGAUCGUUAAUUUGAACACCCUAAGAUUGAAAACAAGACUAUAUUAACGAAGCUCCGAUACUAUUGAUAGUAUAGUAACCUAAUUCUAUAUAUAUAUAUAUAUAUAUAUCUNAUCUUACCUUCCAUUAGAAUGAGUUUUUAUUUAUUUUGAAAAGUCAACCGAUCUUACAUCUUAUCUUUUUAGGAUUAAGGGCCGAAGGCAUCCUUUAACCUUGGAACAGCGCUUGGUUUGGCACUCUUAGCUAAACAUCAAGUGAAUUUAAUAAUAUAUCGAAAAUUCGAACGCUAAUGGAGAUGCUGCUUAAACAGAUUAAAGAUGAGUUUGGAAUGAAAGAUAUGAUCAAUGUCCUAUCUAGCUCAAGCAAUAGUCUUUCGUUUGCUAUGUUAGAUUUCUCUUGGUAUGCAAUUAAGGAACGUAUUAUCACUCUGCAAAACAAUGGAUAUUUAUCACAUUAGGGAGGGCUGAGAUUUAUGAAGAAUCUGAUAGUCGUGAGGUAGUCGACUACAUAAACUCUCUAAAGAUGAAUCAACUUGCAACAGAACUUGAAAUCGAACUAGAGAGUCUACAGCUCAACAUGGAGGGCGAAAAUACACUAUUAUUUCCAGAACAACAUAGAACAGAGGUAUCCGUCUCACAAAGAUGGGUGUUUUGCAUGCUCGGAAUUAGUUUAGCUAAGCCUCGAUCCCCAUUGCAAGAAGGGUUGCCCCGUUAAUUCCUUACACAACCCCACGUUUGCCCCUUCAUUCGGGAUUGUGUCGGUUCGGUGCGGCCUCCUCUCUCCCUUCCCUGCCCCAACCACACCACACUCGCAUGCAGCUCCUUUGCAUUUUCAGUUUUGACCCACAGAUCUCAAUUAAUUCUUAUUUAUUAUUAUCACUAUUAUUACUAUCUUUUGAUUUCGAUGAACCCUUUGCUUCAAUCGUCUUCUUAGUUAGUUAAUUAAUUAAGCACCUCUCUUUCUAUCCUCAAUCAUUUUUCCUAGAUUAUUAUUAUUAUAAAUUAAUUCGUCAGAUGUGGCGCAGGUCGAUGCCCAACGUGGCCACUCGUGUUGCCCAAACGACGUCCAUAAUGCUUGGCAUUGUUUAGUGGUGCGGUAAUGAUUAAUAGCCGAAUUUGAACGCAAUGCCCAUGUUCACUAAGCUAUAGCUAGCUCGGGCCAUGUUCGAUCUCCUCCGCCCUCACUCCUCAGUCCUCACUCACCCUCCACAAAACCACGUGGCCCAUGCAUGCACCGACGUCCUAUAUAUAUAUAUAUGCUCGGCUUUGAACCUCAGCAUCGAUCUUAACCAAACAACGCUCGAUCCGCGGAGCACUUCAAAUCUAUUUUAGGGUGCAGAUACCAGAUGGUGGGUUUUGUGUUGUUCACUCUUGGUCGUAUAGGCGGGCUCUAAUAGGCUUAAUACGACGGGAUAAAUGGAAAUAAAGUAGUAAGCACUAACAAAAUACAGAUUCCUUAAUUUGUUGAGGAACAAAUGGCGUUUAAUUAAGUUGCUGGGGCCUUAAUUAAUUAAUUAGCUUUCUCCGCAUUACUUUCCUAAUCAACCUUUACUUUACUUCACUUUUUUAGGACGCCGUCGGGAAUCUCUCUAAUGGCGUGAGGUGGUGGGAGGGCCCCGCAUGCAUCACACUAAUUAAUAAAGACGCCAAACACCUUUCACACACACACACACACACACACACACACACACGCUCAGAGAAGAGAAGAUAAGGACGUACGUAAUUACCACGCCCACCCCGUCACGUGCCUUUUAACUUCACUUUCGACACUCAUGCCAUGUUUUCAUUUGGUAUUUAAUAAUUUAAAAAUACAUUCUGCAAACUAACUAAUGAGCGGUGAGACAGAUAUAUUCAAGCAUAAAGAAAAUUGAAAAAUGUAAAACUAUUGAGAAACCGCAUCUUAAUUUCUGAACCAACGCAUCUCUCAAUUUAUCUCUAUUGAAUGUGAAUGAGAACCGGGUACCUGAUGAUUGUGAUCAAUUGGUAUUAGUAAGGAGUAGGAGUAAAGGCCAUAACAAACAUGAUUGUAUUAAUUACAAGGUGUGACAUUGGCCCAAUUAGAUUGGAUUUAUGGGAGUGUGGGCAUGUCCUACGCUAAUCAACAGCGAUGAGUGGGGGUGCCCUUUAAAUUUCGUUUGGGUAAUGCAUGGACCCACCCAUAUCCCUUUUGGCGGUGGAGGAAAUCUAUUGCACUUCAUUAAAUACGGGUGACCCGAUUCCUUUAUUAACAACAAAAUAAAGAGGAAAGGUAAACAUAAUUAAUGUCGGGGCAUAACCUCCCAAAGGUGGCGGCUCCACUCUCUCAUCACAUGUACAUCGGAUUGAUGCCGAUAAUUAGCUAGCCAUAACCCCAUCUCGCCUACCUCCUCAUCUAGCUGCCAAGCUAAUUCUCGUGCUGUAACGAAUUUUAUUUUCAACUUAAUUAUUAUGUGAAGUCAAGUGCUAGCACACAACUAGGUUGGAUCGAGAUGGCAUAAUUCAACCAUAUCAUGUGAAUUAAGCUGAUUUGAAAUUGGUCGGACUAAUAGCAAGUCUGAGAGACUCCUCAACUUCGGACUACCUAGCUACUUGGUAUCUGGGCUAGCGAGACGUACUCUUUACGAUUACAUGAUCUUUUGAAAAGAGCGAGUCGUUGGGAGUACAUGGAGUUAAAUAGAGUGAAAAUUUUCAUAUGCAUAAAAGAAAGGAUCUUUCAACGCCCACUAUACUUUCAUUAAUGUUCUAAAUUUCUCUUAUGGUGACAAAUAUGAUACAAAGCGUCCCAAAUUUUGUCUAAUUUUCCGAUACUAGACUGUCACUAUUAUCAAGAACGCGCCCUUUUUUAUUCAGUACUCCUCUGACUUCAUUAGCUCGAACUAUGCAAAUUAAGUUGCUUGUAAAUCUUCUCGAGCUGUUGCCAGUGAGGAGCGCGCGUUAUCUUCCAACCCUGGCGACUCGGGAUCCAAUGUAUGGCCAUUGCACCGAGUCCGAGUUCGAACCAUCAUGUAUGACUCCCAAGCUUGCUCACUACGAUAUACAUAUAUUUAAUUCAGUUCCAAAUGACUUCAUCCAGCUUAAAUCCUGUGUAAGAGGUCUUAAUCUCGCAACCGACCAAUUGACUCUGAUUUCACAUAAAUAAAGUCAGUGACGAUUUUAUAUGAAAUUUCGAAGAAUGCAAUUUUUUUUUUUUUUUCCUAUUUCCAUGUCGAAGGAUGCAAUUCCAUUUUUGCUCAUUAUACCAUACACACUACCUCACAGUUUAUACUACAAUGCGUAAGUAUUACGACCUCUUGCAGCAGCUAGUCAACUCUUUUGCUAAUUGUGAAAUUAAACAAUAUACAUAAUCGAUCUCCAAACCAAUCGAAAGUCAACAGCCCUGUGCGGGUACUCGUACGAAAAUUAAGUUUAUUCAUCAAAUUGAAUAACUAACACGGCAAUUAGUCCGGGGACCUAGUAGAACCCUAUCUAUGUAUGGUCAAUUAUACAAAAUUGAUAUCCAAGCUAGGGAAACUAUAGAUGCAUUACUCUAUUAUUAAUUGAUAUGACCUGUUCGUUCUUUCCGGUCCUUUCAUCUUGGAGUGGACCCUCCAAAUGCAAGCUACCUCUCGAUCCAAUCAUCUAAUCCGUGCCGUUCUAAUUAAUUACCGUCGUUGAUCCGCCUCUCCCAAUUUACUGGGUAACAACAUGCAAACGCCCACGAGUUUUCCAGAAAUAUUUUCCUAUAAUUAAGUAAGCUAUUUGUACAUUAAUAAAUUGAUGUCUUACCAAUCGUCCCUAGAGCAAGUGGCAAAAAGUUUGGUGGUUAAUACCCGAGAUCUCCAAUUCGAAUCCUAAUUGAUUCAUAUUUUCAACUAAAUUUAUUUCUAAAUUAAAAUAAACAAAGCGAUUAGCGUGCUACCUAUCUCUCAAAAAAUAAAUAAAUAAAUAAAUUGAUGUCUUGAUUUAAACUAUAUAUAUAUAUAUAUAUAUAUAUAGAGAGAGAGAGAGAGAGAGAGAGAGAGAGAGAGAGAGAGAGAGAGAGAGGAUACUAUGCUAUCGGAAGCCCAGAGCCUUCCGUGCUCAGCUCGUUUUCGAUGUUGCGACUUUCGAAUCGUCGAUCGGCUUCCGUUAAACUUGAUCUAGAGCAUUUGAAGUACCUAGAAAUAAUUUUAUUAUUUUUCGAUAUCAUUUUGCCUAGUGAUCGAAUGGGCCUCAAAAUCAACAAAUUUUAAUGGCCGCAAUGAGCCGUUUGCAAGUUUAACGGUGUAGAAAUAUCCAAAUACCGUGAAAUUUUGAUAGAAAUAUUCUUUUCUAUAUAAACAAGAUCAAUAUCUUUAAUUAAAAUUUUAAUGUCAUAUUAUUCAUUUUGUAAGGUUUUUAUUUUCAGCCAUUGAUUUUGAGCCCCUUCGUUCACUAGGCAAAUGAUAUCGUAAAAUAUAAAUUUAUUUUCUAUGUACUUCAAAUGCUCUAAAUCAAGUUUAACGGAGCCGAUCGACGAUUUGAAAGUCGCAACAUCGAAAAACGAGCUCGAAAGCACGGAAGGUUCCGUGCUUCCGAUAGCAUAGUAGCCUCACUCUAUAUAUAUAUAUAUAUAUAUAUAUAUAUAGUUCGACUGAAAUAUUUUUAAUUACAUUUAUCAUUUUGUGCUAUCGAAUUUUUUCCUAUUAGAUCUACCACUGACUAUUCUACUCUAUUUAAUUAUACCGUUUCACCUCGAGCCACUUAUAUUUUAACUCUGCAAAUCUUUAUCUAAAUCCUCAAGAGACCGACCACCAUGACUUGAGAGCCUAUUAAAAAUAUUCCAACCCAAUUUACAUAUAUAUAUAUUAUAUAUUCUAUAUAUAUAUAUAUAUAUAUAGCUAGGGCUGGGUAUACUAUCGGUAGCACGGGGCCUCCGUGCUACCAAGUUGUUUUCAAUGAUACGGUUUCCAAAUCGACGACGGUUCUAUUAGACUUGAUCUAACUAUGUAAAGUAUAUUUGGAAAUUAAAUUUCAUAAUUUUCGACAUUGUUUGGUUAGUGAUCAACAAGGUCUCAAAAUUGAUAAUUUUAAUGGUAGAUUUGAUGCAUUUGUAAAUUUAACGGUAAUAAAACAAUCCAAUUCUGAUGAAAUUUAUAUAGAAAUUCUUUUCCCUAUUUAGAGUAAUGAUACGUAUCUCUGAUCUUAAAUUCAAAUAUUUUAUCAUCAUUUUUUAUGGUGAUUUAUUUCAGCCGUGUUAUUUUAGAUACUCGUUUGAUAGGUAAAUGAGUGCCGAAAAAUUAUGAAAUUUAGUUUCAAAUACUUUCAAUAGUGCAGAUCAAUCUAACGAGCACGAUCGUUGAUUUGGAAGCCGCAGCAUUAAAACAACUUGGUAGCACACGGAGGCCUCCGUGCUACCGAUAGUAUACAAGCCUAGCUCUCUCUUCUCUCUCUCUCUCUCUCUCUCUCUUUCUGUUAUAUAUAUAUAUAUAUAUACUAUAUUAUAUAUAUAUAUCUUAGAGUGAGGCUACUAUGCUAUCGGAAGCACGAGCCUUGCUGCUUCCAACUUGUUUUCGAUGUUGCGGCUUUCGAAUCGUCGAUCCGUCUUAAACUUGAUCUGAGUAUUUGAGAGUACCUAGAAAAUAAAUUUAUGAUUUUACGAUUCAUUUGCCUAGUGAACGAAGGGGCUCAAAAUCAACGGCUAAAUAAAAAUCUUACAAAAUGGUAAUUAUAUGAAAUUAAAAUUUUAAAUCAAGAUAUUGAUCUUGUUGUUAUUGUAUUAUAAAGAAUUUUCUAUCAAUUUCACGUGAUUUGGAUAUUUUCUACACCUGUUAAAUGCAAACGGCUCACUACGGCCAUUGAAAUUUGUGUGAUUAUUGAGCCAUUCGAUUACUAGGCAAUGAUAUCGAAAAAUAAUAAAAUUUUAUUUUCUAGGUACUUCAAAUGCUCUUGAUCAAGUUUAACGGAGCCGAUCGACGAUUCGAAAAUGCCACAUCGAAAACAAGCUGGAAGCACGGAAGGCUCCGUGCUUCGAUAGCAUAGUUCAGCCACUUUCUCUCUCUCUCUUCUCUCUCUCUCUAUAUAUAUUAUAUAUAUAGAAUUAGGUGGAAUACAUUAAUAGUAAACGCUUUUUUUGCUAUCAAUUUUUAACCCUUGGAUGAAAAUUAUUAGGUCGAGAUGAUAUUAGUCGGUUAGAGUUGAGUGGUCCCCCUAGGGUUGAGUGGUCCCCACUGGGUUAUAGUAUUUAAUCCAAUGGUUAAAAAUAAUGAAAAGAGUUGAUCCAAAGGCUAAAAAACUGGUAGCAACAAUGAGAUUUUGCUAUUAACAGUAGCCCAGCCCAACUUUCUCUCUCUCUAUGUAUAUAUAUAU
rnacentral:lncRNA from 1 species